UUUAACAGUCAAAGCUAAGCAUCACUACGCAAGUAAAGAGUUUGUAGAACAAGCUGGAAGCUAAGCAGGGUUGGGCCUGGUUAGUACUUGGAUGAGAGACCACCUAGGAAAACCAGGUGCUGUAAGCG
rfam:Pteropus alecto contig40138, whole genome shotgun sequence.